rnacentral:rRNA from 1 species
UACGAAGGGUGCAAACGUUGCUCGGAAUUAUUGGGCGUAAAGCGCGCGUAGGCGGCUUUGCAAGCCGGAUGUGAAAUCCCCGGGCUUAACCUGGGAACUGCAUUCGGGACUGCAUUGCUAGAGUAUGGGAGAGGGAAGUGGAAUUUCAGGUGUAGCGGUGAAAUGCGUAGAUAUCUGAAGGAACAUCAGUGGCGAAAGCGACUUCCUGGACCAAUACUGACGCUCAUGUGCGAAAGCGUGGGGAGCAAACAGG